rnacentral:rRNA from 1 species
CAAUAGCGUAUAUUAAAGUUGUUGCGGUAAAAAAGCUCGUAGUUGGAUUUCCGUUGAGAGCGACCGGUCCAUACCAUGUAUGCGUAUCUGGCUUGCUCUCGGCAUCCUCUCGAUAGACGUUACUGCGCUUGAUUGCGUGGUGCGGAUCUCGGGACUUUUACUUUGAGGAAAUUAGAGUGUUCACGGCAGGCUUUCGCCAGAAUACAUUAGCAUGGAAUAAUACUAUAGGAUCUUGGUUCUAUUUUGUUGGUUUCUAGAAUUGAGAUAAUGAUUAAUAGGGACAAUUGGGGGCAUUCGUAUCAACACGUCAGAGGUGGAAUUCUUGGAUUGUGUUGCGACGAACUACUGCGAAAGCAUUUGCCAAGGAUGUUUUCAUUGA